rnacentral:rRNA from 1 species
UACAGAGGGUGCGAGCGUUGUCCGGAAUCACUGGGCGUAAAGGGCGCGUAGGCGGCUUUUCAAGCGUGCGGUGAAAGCUCGGGGCUUAACUCCGAGUCUGCCGUGCGAACUGGGAGGCUUGAGUCUGGUAGAGGUCGAUGGAAUUCCGGGUGUAGCGGUGGAAUGCGUAGAGAUCCGGAAGAACACCGGGGGCGAAGGCGGUUGCCUGGCAGUGUAUUGACGCUGAGGUGCGAAAGCGUGGGGAGCAAACAGG